UACGGAGGAUGCGAGCGUUAUCCGGAUUUAUUGGGUUUAAAGGGUGCGUAGGCGGGCUUUUAAGUCAGCGGUAAAAAUUCGGGGCUCAACCCCGUCCGGCCGUUGAAACUGGGGGUCUUGAGUGGGCGAGAAGAAGGCGGAAUGCGUGGUGUAGCGGUGAAAUGCAUAGAUAUCACGCAGAACCCCGAUUGCGAAGGCAGCCUUCCGGCGCCCUACUGACGCUGAGGCACGAAAGUGCGGGGAUCAAACAGG
rnacentral:rRNA from 1 species